rnacentral:rRNA from 1 species
AGUGAACGCUGGCGGCAGGCCUAACACAUGCAGGUCGAACGAACUCUUCGGAGUUAGUGGCGGACGGGUGAGUAACACGUGGGAACGUGCCCUUUGGUACGGAAUAACUCAGGGAAACUUGAGCUAAUACCGUAUGUGCCCUUCGGGGGAAAGAUUUAUCGCCAUUGGAGCGGCCCGCGUCUGAUUAGCUGGUUGGUGAGGUAAAGGCUCACCAAGGCUACGAUCAGUAGCUGGUCUGAGAGGAUGAUCAGCCACAUUGGGACUGAGACACGGCCCAAACUCCUACGCAAGGCAGGAGUGGGGAAUCUUGCGCAAGCGGCGAAAGCAUGACGGAGCCAUGCCGCGUGAAUGAUGAAGGUCUUAGGAUUGUAAAAUUCUUUCACCGGGGACGAUAAUGACGGUACCCGGAGAAGAAGCCCCGGCUAACUUCGUG